rnacentral:misc_RNA from 1 species
GUAGGUGAACCUGCGGAAGGAUCAUUACAGAAUGAACUUGACAGAUUGUAGCUGGCUCUCUCCGGGGAGCACUUGUGCACGUCCGUCCUUUCUAUCUUACCACCUGUGCACUCUUUGUAGAUCUGGAGGCAUCUUCACGGACUUUGUCUGUGGUUUUUGGGAGUUGUCGUGCCUUUGUGUCGACUCUCCCUGGCCUUUCCAGGUCUAUGUUUUUACAUCUACUCCAUAGCAUGUAAAAGAAUGAAUCUAUGGCAGCCUCGUGCAGCCUAUAAAACUAGUACAACUUUCAGCAACGGAUCUCUUGGCUCUC